rnacentral:rRNA from 1 species
GUUGUCCGGAUUUAUUGGGCGUACAGAGCGUGUAGGCGGCCUGACAGGGCUGCUGUGAAAACUCGAGGCUCAACCUCGAGAUGUCGGCGGAAACCGUCUGGCUAGAGUCCGGAAGAGGAGAGUGGAAUUCCUGGUGUAGCGGUGAAAUGCGCAGAUAUCAGGAAGAACACCUAUGGCGAAGGCAGCUCUCUGGGACGGUACUGACGCUGAGACGCGAAAGCGUGGGGAGCGAACAGG